rnacentral:rRNA from 1 species
GUGCCUAAUACAUGCAAGUCGAGCGAACAGACGAGGAGCUUGCUCCUCUGACGUUAGCGGCGGACGGGUGAGUAACACGUGGAUAACCUACCUAUAAGACUGGGAUAACUUCGGGAAACCGGAGCUAAUACCGGAUAAUAUAUUGAACCGCAUGGUUCAAUAGUGAAAGACGGUUUUGCUGUCACUUAUAGAUGGAUCCGCGCCGCAUUAGCUAGUUGGUAAGGUAACGGCUUACCAAGGCAACGAUGCGUAGCCGACCUGAGAGGGUGAUCGGCCACACUGGAACUGAGACACGGUCCAGACUCCUACGGGAGGCAGCAGUAGGGAAUCUUCCGCAAUGGGCGAAAGCCUGACGGAGCAACGCCGCGUGAGUGAUGAAGGUCUUCGGAUCGUAAAACUCUGUUAUUAGGGAAGAACAAAUGUGUAAGUAACUAUGCACGUCUUGACGGU